rnacentral:rRNA from 1 species
GACGAACGCUAGCGGGAUGCCUUACACAUGCAAGUCGAACGGCAGCGCGGACUUCGGUCUGGCGGCGAGUGGCGAACGGGUGAGUAAUGUAUCGGAACGUGCCCAGUAGCGGGGGAUAACUACUCGAAAGAGUAGCUAAUACCGCAUACGCCCUACGGGGGAAAGGGGGGGAUCGCAAGACCUCUCACUAUUGGAGCGGCCGAUAUCGGAUUAGCUAGUUGGUGAGGUAAAGGCUCACCAAGGCGACGAUCCGUAGCUGGUUUGAGAGGACGACCAGCCACACUGGGACUGAGACACGGCCCAGACUCCUACGGGAGGCAGCAGUGGGGAAUUUUGGACAAUGGGGGAAACCCUGAUCCAGCCAUUCCGCGUGUGCGAUGAAUGCCUUCGGGUUGUAAAGCACUUUUGGCAGGAAAGAAAUCGCACGGAUUAAUACUCUGUGUGGAUGACGGUACCUGCAGAAUAAGCACCGGCUAACUACGUGCCAGCAGCCGCAGUAA